rnacentral:rRNA from 1 species
CAGCCCUAAACGAUGCGCGUUAGGUGUAUCGGUGACCACGAGUCACCGAGGUGCCGAAGGGAAACCGUGAAACGUGCCGCCUGGGAAGUACGGUCGCAAGGCUGAAACUUAAAGGAAUUGGCGGGGGAGGUACCACAACGGGUGGAGCCUGCGGUUUAAUUUGGACUCAACGCCGGGAAGCUCACCGGAUAAGACAGCGGAAUGAUUGCCGGGCUGAAGACCCUGCAUGACCAGCUGAGAGGAGGUGCAUGGCGUGUGACUGU